GGAUGUGAAGCUGAUCUGGCUGUGACAUCUGUUACCCCACUGAUCUCCAACGUUGAUUCGGCUGAUCUGGCUUGCUAGGAGGGAUGCCCUCUUUCUCCCUCAAGGAUCCACGUGCAUCCCUCCCAAACCUGCAAGCUCUGUAGAAGAGGAUGAAAGUCCCCAGUAGAGGAAGACUGGUCAAGGAUAUAAGAGUUACUGUACUCCCCAGUUAGAACCUCCAAAGAAGCUCUCAAAUUAUACCACAGAGCUUAUAGUUAAAAAAAAAAAAAAAAAAAGCAUGGUACAGACAU
rnacentral:snRNA from 1 species